CGAAGCUCCACACUGUGACACAGUUUGAUCUCAGUCCAUCUGUGGCUCUGCAGGACCUCAGGCCGACAGCAGCUGAGGACCACAGUGAGGCCCGGCGUGAAAACACUGAUUCACACUUAGUUAACGUUUAAAUGGACCGGAACCAGCUGGAGGAACGGGACACAGCCUGCAUGGAUCUGAGCUGCUGGUUUCUUCUCAGGAACCAAUUACCGGUUUGCUGCCAUGACGACCGUCUCCACUCAUGUUGCAGCCCCUCUUGCUCUCUUGAUUGACAUCUUAACAACCAAUUACAGCUGAUGCCCCC
rnacentral:lncRNA from 1 species